AACUCUGGGAAACCGGUGCUAAUACCCGAUAACCUCUUUGGAUCGCAUGAUAUGAAGAGAAAAGGUGGCCUCUUUACAAUGCUACCACUUACAGAUGAAUCCGCGUCCCAUUAGCCAGUUGGUGGGGUAAAGGCCUACCAAAGCGACGAUGGGUAGCCGGCCUGAGAGGGUGACCGGCCACACUGGAACUGAGAUACGGUCCAGACUCCUACGGGAGGCAGCAGUGGGGAAUCUUCCGCAAUGGCGAAAGCGAAGAAGGUCUUCGGAUUGUAAAGCUCUGUGAUAUUGGACGAACAAUUUCCCGUAAAUAAUGGGAAGGAAUGACGGUACAAUAAGAGGAAGCCACGGCUAACUACGUGCCAGCAGCCGCGGUAAUACGUAGGUGGCAAACGUUGUCCGGAAUUACUGGGCGUAAAGGGCGAGUAGGUGGUUUGCUAAGUCAAAAGUGAAAACUCCGGGCUCAACCUGGAGAAGCCUCUAAAACUGGUAGACUUGAGUGCAAGAGAGGGAAGUGGAAUUCCUAGUGUAGCGGUGAAAUGCGUAGAUAUUAGGAGGAACACCAGUGGCGAAGGCGACUUCCUGGCUUGUAACUGACACUGAGGCGCGAAAGCGUGGGGAUCAAACAGGAUUAGAUACCCUGGUAGUCCACGCCGUAAACGAUGAGUGCUAGGUGUCGGGGGUCAAAGCCCGGUGCCGCAGCUAACGCAUUAAGUAUUCCGCCUGGGGAGUACGCACGCAAGUGUGAAACUCAAAGGAAUUGACGGGGACCCGCACAAGCAGCGGAGCAUGUGGUUUAAUUCGAAGCAACGCGAAGAACCUUACCAGGUCUUGACAUCCCUCUGACCGGUCCGUAACGGGACCUUUCCUUCGGGACAGAGGAGACAGGUGGUGCAUGGUUGUCGUCAGCUCGUGUCGUGAGAUGUUGGGUUAAGUCCCGCAACGAGCGCAACCCUUAUCUUUAGUUGCCAUCAUUCAGUUGGGCACUCUAGAGAGACUGCCGGUGACAAACCGGAGGAAGGUGGGGAUGACGUCAAAUCAUCAUGCCCCUUAUGAUCUGGGCUACACACGUGCUACAAUGGCGAUAACAAAGGGAAGCAAAAGGGUGACCUCUAGCAAACCCCAGAAAAGUCGUCCCAGUUCGGAUUGUAGUCUGCAACUCGACUACAUGAAGUUGGAAUCGCUAGUAAUCGCGAAUCAGAAUGUCGCGGUGAAUACGUUCCCGGGUCUUGUACACACCGCCCGUCACACCAUGGGAGUUGGAAGCGCCCGAAGCCAGUGACUCAACCGCAAGGAGAGAGCUGUCGAAGGUGAAGCCAAUGACUGGGGUGAAGUCGUAACAAGGUAACC
rnacentral:rRNA from 1 species